UCUUCCUCUGCUGCGGCUUCUCCCAAUCCCGGUCUGCCGUCGACACCGGGGAGGAUGUCAACGAUCUUCACCACCGGUGUUCUGGCGAGGAGCAAGAAGGGUGGGUAUGCGAAGACCCAUGUGUUCGUUCACGAUUUCAAGAGGGAGGCGAAGAGGGUUUGCAGUGAGGAGUUCUUGUGCAGGGAGAACCUGGUGCAGUCAAAGGACCUCCUCGCCCAUUUCGCAAUCGAGAGAAGGAACGGAUAUGCCUCGGAAUUCUGUCGCAACCGUACAUCGGCAUCAUCAUUUUUUUCCUCCUAGAAAUUUCUCUGUUAAUUUAGAUUUCUUUUCCCUUGUACAUAGUUACAAUCACCUGAAAGGUGUUUGUGUAGUUGUGUCUUAUAGUUUUCAAAUACAUGGUUUGAAAAUGAAGUAUCAGCAAGAGUGUUGGUUCUAUCGCAAUGACCGGAGCCCCUUCUUUCACAAAAACCUAGCGGCUGUACGAAGAAGAAAUCAUUGGAGUUGAUUAUAGAAGAUGUGUGAAGGGUAGUGAGGACAGUACUAUUAAGUUCAUGGAAACAUACAAUCAAGUUAAUUAUAGCACCUCUUUUGGAAUUUGCAUAUUUUGAUGGAGCUGUGAAGCAUCUUUUUCCAUUGAAUUUCAUUUUAAGGCUGUGGUAUCUUGGUCCUGACUUCUACUAUGCUGUAAAUAUUGGCAUUUUUCAAUAUCAGCUGAAGUUUAACACACACUGCAAGGAUUAUUUGAUGAUUGCAACCAGUGGAGGACUGAAUCAAAAAAGGACCGGGGUUAGAUUCUUUAGCCCUUAUUUGAUGAUUGCAAAUACAGACUUGUUAUAAUUGCCUUACCAGUGGGACAUGCAACUAGAAGAAGGCUGGGUUCUUCGGAGCCUUGUCGAAGGUGCAUGUUUGCAAGACAUCGGGUGUCGACCAGGUUGCACCAGAGUUUAGAUACACAUCUGGAUUGGAUAAGAAGCUUCACAGGUAAUCUUGAAAGGAUGUUGAGGAUGAUGUCUUGUGGGAAGUCCUCCAUGCUCAUCCAGUGCUCCUAUAUGUUGCUUAGUAUGCUAUUUUGUUUGGUUAAUAAAGACCCAGCUCUUACUCUUCAAUGUUUUAGGUUAAAUGGUUACCAGAACACAAAAGAAAGAAAGGGUUUGGUAAUGAGGUGGCUA